rnacentral:rRNA from 1 species
AUAUACAUUCCUACGACAUAGCGUUAAUGCAUCAGAUCCCAUUUGAACUCCGCAAUUAAAUGCGCUUAGGCUAGAGUAGUACUAGGAUGGGUGACCGCCCGUAAAUUCCUACUAUUUUGCAUG